CGAAGGCGCCUUAGGUGGGCGGGAGGGCGCUCGAGCGGACGGGAAUUGGCGGGAAAGGCUGCCGGGGAAUUCCUGUGAGCUCGCUGGUUUCUCCCUUUAGGACUCCUCCAGAGGGCAGUCGUGUCCCCUCAAGUCUUCUCUGGACCCCCUUCAGAGCCGUUGUACACAUUACACAGAAAGACGUGGUGCGAAUUAGCUGGACUACUGGACUGCCUCGGAUUACAGAUUUAUCAAGCCACUAAGAUGAGUAAAAGGAAGAAGGUACAAAUAUCAGACACACUUUUCUUCUGCUUGGAUUCAACAAACAACCCUAACACAACAGGAUGUACAUCACUACCCAACAAGUCUCCUCUCCUCUACACACAUCUUUAAAAUGCUGUUAUAAGAAAAUCAAGGAACUGGACAUUUCCAAGGCAAAAAGGAGCUUUAGAAAGAAGGCCCCGCUGACAGGAGAGAGUGAUCUAGAAAAGCCAGUACAGACUCUUCCUCCCUCUAGUAAUUCUCCCUCAAAAGUAACAAUAGCUGGAGCAAGUCAAGAAUGUCAAGGAAAUAACCUGGAAAACACUGACACUGAAAUCUCGGCAGCAGCCUUGGAUACAAGCGAAUCUACAGAAGAAGGUGGAAAGGCUUCCCCUCAGAGGAAAGAGCUAGGUCGUACUAAAGCUUUUCUGCCUCCAUCUCAAGGAGGGAAGAUAGUACCAGUGUUUACAAAGCCCAAAAAGCCAUUGACUGAAAAACAUGAAAGAGGUUGUGGAGAAGCUGCAACAGUUCGGAUAGACCAGGAUAUGCUAGAGUCCUCCAAUGUACAAUGUAUGGUUAGAAAUGUACUGGACACAUCAGAGAGAACUGCCCAGAACACCUUUACUCCUCCAGAAUCACUUGUACUGAUGGAUUUAUUUGUAACAAAAGUGGAAGAUGUUGGACAUGAAAUGAUUCUUCCUUGUGAGGAACGGAGUGAAAUGCCAGAUCAGGACAGGAUUAGAAGUGAUGGUGCUUCCCAUCAAGCAAACAUAUGUAAAAAUGAAAUGCCAGAGAAGCAGGUUUCCUUUGUUCUGAAUACCUCAGAUAAUGAGGAUGUGGAGGAUCCUAAAAAGAGAGAGCUCUCUACUGAGUCACUCAGAUGUCCACUUGUUAGGGAGAUGAGUUUUAUGCUGAGAGAAGACAGGAUCAGUGACUCUCUCAAAAACAGUCAAAAGGAAGAAAAGCAUCUAAGUAGUUUGGAUAUGGCUGUGGAACAAAAUAAAGCCAUCCAGGAUAUCAUAAAGCCAAAUGACGUCAAAGAAGCAGACUGGGCUAAAAAUGGAAACAGAAAAGACACAGGUCCUGCGGAGUCCAUGGCCAGCCAAACCCAAAAGGAGAACAGCAGGGCUCCACCCCCACUUAUGACAGAUGCAUCAGUACUACUCACACUUGAGGAACAAAGCAGAAAUCUGCCUUCAGGUAGUGUGGCUAGAGAGGGAAGUGGCAAUGGCAAAGGAUCAGAUCAGAGCCCUCUGCACAGAAAUGGGAAAGCAGAAGAACAAAAUGGCAUUUGCAGCAGUACUGAAAUUUUAGAACUCCGAGAUGCUCAGUGCAGCUCUACAAUUAGUGGAGAACCUACAGAUCAGCACAGACCAUGGAUGGGUGGCAUACCCACAGAGCAAAGUGGAAGGGACAAACCUACAGAACAAAGUAGCCCAUGCAGGAGUGAGACUAUUGUUGAAGAGCAAAUUGGUGAGGAUGGCCAAGAUAUUUUGAGGGGAAAUUGUCCAGAUACUGCAUGUAUUGAUUUGGACGAAGCAGGUAUUUCUGGACUAAAAUGUGAACAGGCUAUUAAAACAAGCAAUCUGGUUUCCCCACAGCCUGAUGGGGAGAGCAGACAAACCUCAGUGCCAGCAGUUGCCUGCAGUCCAGAGGAAGGGAGAAGUGAAAAAGAGACUGGAAUAAAAGCAGGACCAACUAAGAGCAUUGCUCCUUCUCCUGAUGUAGAAGUCCUAGCCCUGUUCCAGUCCCAACGGCAAACAGGGGCAAAGGGAUAUGAGAAAAUGAUGUCUAAUAUAAAACAAACAGAAUGUGAUGGAUGUGGUUUGAAACCUAAUGAAAGUAGUCAAACCUUCUCCAGUACAGAGAUUUCUCUGCAAAAUCUGACGACAACUCCUAAGGCAAAAACAAAACCAAGGACAGAAAACUCCCCCUCUUUCACUGAUGACCACAUGGUUGGAGAAGAAAUGGCAACAUGUGGGGAAAAGAAGUGUGGACCCAUCCAUGGGGAAAGUUCCUUCUCUUCUGACAAGAUUCUUUCACAACUGGAGAAAGAGGUAGUGGUGGGUGAUCCUAACAGAGCAGUGGAUGCUGGUUCAGAAGCACUUCAGCCUCUUCUUGCUUCAGGUGCAGGUCCCAGCAUCAGUGCUUCAAGUGGCCUUGACAUGGUGACCCAAACAUGCUUUCUAGGCAAAAAUCAUCUGGACCUAGAAUUUCUGCCUGAUAGUCAACUACAGGGUGUCUUGGAAAGUAACAGAUUUGAAUUCCUACCACACAAGCUCUGUUCUUUCCCUGCUGCUGAAUGAAGACCCACUUUGCUCCAGAGGCAAACUGUGAAUUAGCUAAGAGAGCUUUAAGACCUUGGAAAGGAGGCCCCCGCCCAGUUCUACUAGUCCUGCAUCUGCUGCUCCAGAGACAGCCUUUUUUCCUUUCUCUCCAAAAGCCUUCACUUUAUUCUUACCCAGCCUGUAAAUCCUUACUUUAAAUUGCUGUAAUUUAAAUUACUGUAAAUUCUUUAAAUCCUCCCACUUGGGCUGCCUGGGUCUACUGCAUGAAUUACCCUCUUGUUUUUAAAGGAGAUGAAUGGUUAAUUUUUCCCUCCUCAGUCUGUUUUUUCCAUAGUUACUGUUAGCUUGUCUGUUCUCUUGACUUGGCUAUUCAGAACUGGGCGGGCUUCUCCUUCCGAGAGUCUUAAAGCUCUCUUAGUUUCUUUGCAUAGUCCUGUAGGAAGGAUAACCUACCAAAUGUCCUCAAAUCCAGCAGCAAGAAGCAGCAUGGCCAUUCUCUCUGGAUAAUCAACAUUUCAAGGGUAGGAGUGAUCAAAGUGCUGCAGAAGAACAAAGUGGAACUGAGACAUCAGCCCCAGUUGUUCUUAUAGGGCCAGGUCAUCCAAAUAAUGCCAAGGUUGAGAUGAUGGAGAGGAUUUGUGAUUCAUUCAAACAAGAAGAUGCAACAGAUGUUGUUUGUGGACUGAUUAAAGAGCUCUCCAAUCUCAAUCGGCUGAUCAUGAGUAAACACAGAGAUCUGGACUCCUACAAGAGACUGAAGUUCCGAAGAAACAGACAAUCAGGGAAGAUUCUGCUUCACAACAUGAACAAUAUGACAAGUGCAGUGAAAAAGAGGAAAGAGAUGUAGCUUGUGAAAACCCUGUUGCUUGCUUUUAACAUUUGUAAGAGUUUGCUCUCUCUUGGUGUGGUUUUAUUCAGCCACAUCAACCAGUCUGGUCAUUAAUAUGCCUAUUGAUGUGAAAGCAGAUCUUUUAAUCUUCUCAUGUAGAACAGAGAUAAUGAAUAAGGAGUAUAAUUCAUGCUCUAACAGCCCUUUAACUACCACAACAAUUGAAAGGAGCCCUAUAAUUAUCAGGAUCAAUUUAUUGACACAUAACUCGGAUUGGCAGCUAUAGCCAAUAAAACUCUGUAUAUCCCUAUCCCUAACAGGUGCCUAUACCUAUCCUCUUUCUGCUCAUAUUCUGGGUGAGCCCUGGACUACAAUUGUGAUUAUCCUGGCAGAAGCAAAGAGUUAUUGUAAUGUGUAUGCAACUAUAUGCAGCUUUCCAUUAUUAGGUCAAAACCUAACCUUAGAAUAGAAACUAAGUAGCCAAUUUCACUCCAUAAGUUAUGGCAAAACCUGCAAAAUGGUGCCUUCUUGUUGUUGUUUAUAGAGGUUUGGCUUAACUGUUUUGUUUGGAAAAUUAACUAGGUUUGGGGUAAAGCAGCAUUCCCUGUUUAGGUACAAGAAACCCAAAACUGAUCAAAUUAAAAAUCUGGCUAAUUCCAAGCAAGAAUUAAAUAUAUGCUUAAAUAUCUUCCAUCAAAACCAAUAGGACUUGGAAUUGUUCAACUUUGCUGCAUUUUGCUCUUUAUUGUUUGUUCUUGCCAUGCGUAUCUGUGUUUCAUUCAGUCUCAGUCUGCACUACAUUUCUUGUCCAAUAAAAAUUCCUUAUCAAGGA